GCUGCCGGGGUUUCACAAGCUUCUAAGUAGGCAAUCAGAUCUGUAGGUUGAGUUUGUGUGGGAAUAAGGGUGGGGGUAACGUUUACUCAAAAAUGGAGUUACUUCGUGUUCAAGCAGAUGCCAUCUGUGCAGGAUGUCUGACAGCCUUCUUGUAAACACAGGAGGGUUUCUGCUGUGUCUGUGAUUCAUCUGCAAGUGAAUUCAUGUUUUGGAAUGGGAAGGGUACAGCUCUGGAAUGAGUCCAAAAUCCCUUUUCCACAACGGCUCCAUAUCAGCGUGACUUCUGAUCCUGAGCAUCAAUUACCUCUGAGAAUGUUACCCCUGCAUUCCAAAAGGAAAUGAUAGCAUCAUUACAUUUCUUGACAGUAUGUACCUGGCUGGGGCAUCUGAGCACAUGUAACGCUUUAAAUGGACACACUUGAAAACAAA